CGGAACUGUAUUCCCGCGGGGGUUCGAUGGGGCACGCGAUCCAGGAGCCUUGCUCCGAGGCGCGAGAUCCCGCGAGAGCAGGAGCCUGGUGGUUUUUCUCCUGGCGGGAGCGGAGCGCUGGGUCUGGCGGUGGGAGCAAGGUGGCUGCAGAUUGAAAUACACAGUUACCAAGAGAGCAGAGUGAAGACGCCUGGAAUUAAGCUGUCACGACCAGUAGUGUUUCCUGGGAGGCUGCGGCCUGCUCUCAGAAUCCAGAUGCGCUCCACGAACACCCUGUUGUCCUGAGUAGCUUCUCACAGUCAGAACCAGAUGCAGGAUAAUAUUAUGGCCAAAUCGACAACAGUCUGUGAGGUGCUAAAUAUCAGAAAGAAAAGAAAGAGCACACUGGCUGAGGUACCGAUCCCAAAGGAAGCUACCCUGGAGAGCGUGUUCUUUUGAAGAUGACAGAAACUUCCAGGGCACUUGUGUUUUCACGAUCUUCUCUGCCGCAUCUUAAAUAGUCGGGCACCACGAUUACUGAGAUGGGAUAGUUCUUCCAACAUGAUGUCUCUGGGGAUGCUGACCUUUUUGCCCAGGUCCAUGCCAUCUACAACUGGAAAACGAUAUUCAUGUGCAUGAAAAUCCCAAGUGACAGCCUAUUAUUCAUUGACAGACAGCGUCACCGUGAAGAGAGGGUGAUACUCAAGAGUUUCAGGCCCAGCCUUAUCUACACAGCAGUACAGUGAUCAGGCAAUGAGACCCAACAAAAGAGCUGGCCUCCUUCCCCCUCCGCUCUCUUUUCCAGUUUAUUAAUCUGUCAUUGUUCCUUACUGGCCUGCACUUGUACCAGCAUCACAAUACAUCAAUUCCAGCAAACUGUAAGAAUGAAGAAGGAACACCAGAUUAAACCAGAACUCUGUGGUGGCGUUUUAAAAUUGGCAUCAACAGCUGUCCUUUAAAGCGAAGAAUACCCAUUUGUGAGUCACAACUCUGCACCUCCUUGGACAACUGACUAAUAGAACAUUUUAGGAAACAAUAUGCUCACCUUGCUCGUAGGCUGCGCUUUCCAGCAGGAUGAAUCCCAAUUCGUGGAGGAGAGACUAGAGAUGGAGUAGGGAUGGCACUUGGGCCUGAUGGUUUUUAUCCUUGAGCCCAGGACGGCAUGGUCCCCAGCCCUGACUCAAACCGGGGACUGAGCCUCUCUGAAGAGACUGGCAUCCAGCUGACAUCAGCUGGCUAUAUAUAGCACCACAUGCUUCAGCUACUCAUAUCUUCCUGGCGAAAGAGAGGAGCAGAGGAAGAUUAGGUUCUCGCCAUUGUGUUUCUAGCUUGUGAGAUGGUUGAACGGCCGCACAGAAAUUUUCUCUGGAGCACCUUCCGUCUGAAGACAUGGUAGCCAGAAGGGAUUUUAAAAACUUUUUAAAAUGUGGCUCUUAGACUACAUCUUAAUAGAGGUGGCAAGACACACACGCGUGAAUCGGAACACAAUGAUACAUUUUGACAAUUAAAAGCAUAAAUAGUAAUAUCUAAAGGUUUCGAGGAGAAAGAAGGCACCGCAGCGGAGUGUAAGUGGGAAUGAGGUCUCGCCAGGCUCGGGAAAAUGGGCAGAAUUCGCACGGCGAAGCGGGGCCGCCACGAGGCCAUGACUCAGAGCCCGGUCCCGCUUUGUGAGGACACCCUGUGGAGAACGGUGCCUACGCAGCUGACCCAUCUCCGCGGGCUCCGGAGUCCAGGGUUCCUGCCUGGCAGAAUGGCGGUUGGUAGAUCCGGGCGGUCGGCACGCGGCCUCCUUGCCGGUGCUCGGACACAGACGCCUGCUCGCAUUUCUGGGCUUCGCUUUUGCGAUUCCCUACUUCUGUGACCACGCUGUCCCCUACCCACGUGGCACUUCAUCGAGUGCCUGCAAGACUCCGCUCAACCGUUGUUCUUCACAGCGUCGUUCCCCAGCCAUCCUGUCUAAAGCGUCCCAUGGAGCCACUCUCUGGCCCCUUCCUCUGUUUCACGGUUCUUUAUAUUUUUGUAUUGAGAUUAAAAUCAAGUGGGAGUGACAGAAAACUUUAAAAACCCAGAAAUUUUAAAAAGAUAAAAGUGAGUUUUUCCCACACACAAGCUUAGUCCAGAGAUAAAUAAUCUAGGAUUGGCAUGAUUGACAUGACAUCAGGGGCUCAGUCACCUUCUAAUGUUUUGUUCCCUUGUCCCUAAAAUGCAGACCCCUUGAGCCGAAAUGGCCCCUCCAGUUCUGGUCAGCGUGUCCACAUUUCAGUCAACAGGAAAAAAAAUAACAAUGAGGAAGACGCACUGUCUCUCGCUCAGAACGUGUCCUGAUAUUGCUCAGACCUCUCUUGCUUAUGUCCUUUGGGCCAGAUCUUAGUCAGAUAGCCAUGCAUAGCUCAAGAGAGGUUGGGAAACGUCGACUGCGUUCUGCACGGCCAUGAGCCCAGCUAAGAUUCCGAGAUUAGCUUACUGACAGAGGUGACAAGUGGUUCCUGGAUGACAACUCUUAGUUUUUGCCACAGGAACAUAUUAACAUUAUCUAUCCAUCUAUCUGUCGGAUAUCUGUUUUUCCUACUAAAAUAUAAACUCCAUAAGGGCUUGGGCUUUGUCUACAUCUUCGGCAGCGAGAAUUGUGUCUCGUAUAUGACAGCACUCAGUAUUCAUUGAAUAAAUGAGUGGGUUGGAAAUUAAUUGUAAAAGGCAUUCAAAGUUUGGCAUGAGUUUGGAAUUCUCUUCCAGUUACAUCAAAUACUUGGGGGGAAAUAGGGUUGUAAUAAAUGAACGGUAACUCGAAUGUGAGAAGAUGGUGGCACUUAUGAGUUGUUUUGUGUGAGAUUAAAAUAGGAUAGUCUGUACAUUUCGGUGUCUGAUCGUAGGAUCAUUAGUUCACAGCAGUAGGUGGUAGGUUUUAGCUAACUUACUGCAGUUGCUUCUAAGCAAAUGUUCGCAUUGAAGAUAUUAAUUAGAUGCCAGAGAGAAACCAUUUUGCCAAAGCCAACAAAUUUAAAUUCUCUCUCCAGAUCCUUCAGUGGUCUUUAUAUCCCUGGCUUUGACAUUCACUGUGGUGUGCCAUUAGUCAAGUCUCAUAUACUCUUAGUUUUCUUGUCUAUAAAACGGAGAUUACAGUUUCUACCACAUAGUGUCAUGGACAUUUAACCUGUAAUAAUUUUAGAAAUUUCUGACACAAUAAAACUUUAAUAAAUAUGAA